UUUUUUUUGCGGUAUGCGGGCCUCUCACUGCUGUGGCCUCUCCCGUUGCGGAGCGCAGGCUCAGCGGCCAUGGCUCACGGGCCCAGCCGCUCUGCGGCAUGUGGGAUCUUCCCAGACUGGGGCACGAACCUGUGUACCCUGCAUCGGCAGGCGGACUCUCAACCACUGCGCCACCAGGGAAGCCCUAUAAUCCCUUUUGAUUUCUUUCUUUUCCCAAAUAAAAACUGUUGUUAAACUAUGCCAGUGGCAUUAAGGGAACUUGGAUAAUAGUUACUAAAACAUUUUGUGUAUGUGUUAUUUUAGUAAUUUCAUUGUGGAGGGAGUUUCGAACCUUUGCUGAUGUCAGACUGUUUUUUUCUAAUCAUUUGAUUAGCAUCAUAUAAGCAUGUGAAAUCUUGGUCCUUUACAACUAAAGAUGGAGUGUACUUCUUUUUCAUUCAGUUUUCAAAUAAUGAAAAUUUUGACUUCUUUAUUUUUUAACUUAAGGAAAUAAAUCAUUUUUGGACUUUUUCUUAAGGAAAAAUUUUGAACUCUGGAAGAAAAACACGUAUCAAACACAUUUUGAUUUGCCCUAUGAUUUUUGAACAGUACUUUUAUGUACCAAGUACUGUGUUAAGCACUUAACAUAAACUAAAAUUAUGAGGUGCUGUGAGGUUAUGUAACCUGCCCAAGAUUUCAAGCCUAAGUGAGAGAUGGGUUUCAAACCUUGAAGGUGGAGGUAAAGGGUGGGGAGAGCAGAUAACUGAGCAGGGAGAGCUCAGUUAUCUCCACAGCAUUGUUAUUUCCCUUAACACCUUACCCUACCCCCAGCCAGUGCAAAGCUGAACUUCCUUGUCAUAUCUGUGCCACUAGAGACUUGCUUUUUUGAAGGCCAAGGCUUUAUGAAGAAAUCACAGUUGUGCUCCACCCCUUAGUCCCAUUCCUCCCGUCCUUGUCUUGCCAAGUUUGGCAAAUGUCAAAGCGUACCCACUCACCUAAUCCUUCCUUGAAUUGUCGGUUGCUUCCUCCAUCCCCAUCUUGGGGAUUUCCCCUAUUUCCUGCUGUGCUCAGUUACGCAUUUUAAAAGAUCUUGUUAUAUUUCUUCUGCAUUCUCAGGUGUUUUGUUGCAGGAAGAUUUCAGGUGAUCUGUCUCUAGAAUUGCUUGAUAUAGAAAUUGGCCACUCCCUUUUAAUCUUUUUUUAAAGAUUUAUUAUUUAAUUUCUUUCUGGCUGUGUCAGGUCUUAGUUGCGGCAUGUGGGAUCUAUCUUUGCGGCGCACUGGCUUCUCUCUAGUUGUGGCGUGCAGGUUUUCUCUCUCUUAGUUGUGGUGGGCGGGCUUAGUUGCCCUGUGGCAUGUGGGACUUUACUUCCCUGACCAGGGGUUGAACCUGCGUCGCCUGCAUGGUAAGGCAGAUUCUUUACCACUGGACCACCAGGGAAGUACCCCGCUUUAAUCUUUAAAUCAAGAGAGGAUUAGGGGCACAGCACUGUGCUAUCUAAUGAAUUAUUCCUACAGAUGUAGAAAAGAUAAAUAUUUAUUGAUUUAAUCAGAUGAGUGAAAGUUUAGUGAGCAUUCCCUGACAUAUUGACAUACUUGGGCCAGCUGAUUUUCUAUCCUUUAGCAAAUCUCACUUGGGUUCUAUUGGCAUAAUUAAGUGGGGUUGAUAAACCAUCUCUAUUUUCUUUCCCCCUGAAGCCUGACACCCAGUGGUCAGGCUUUGAAACCAGAACACUUCCUUGCCAGGAUUAACUAAGAAAAGAGGAGGCUAUUCUUAGCCUCCUGCCUCACACUUUGAUCUUGAGGAUGCAAGAGGUGGGUGAAAUACUGAGCCAGGGGCCAGACCCAGAGGGCCACACAAUGCUUGAGAUGCAUUUAAGCUAUCCCUUCACAGGGGACUUGCCUUGAGGAGAUGGGGAUUUAAGCCGCUUCCUUCCUCAGUGUCCUUGUUAUUUGACUGCUGAGCCUUUGUUCAUUCCCUCCUCUUUUGGAGAGGGAUAAAGUGAAGUCUCAUCUUUCACCCAGGGGUCAGACACUGAAGUCAGACCUUAAGGCAAAAAUCAUUAUAUAGUCCAAAUUAAAUCUCCCCAAGAAGGUGCUGUAUUAGAGGUGCAUGCUGAGCUAUUUCAAGAAAAAAAAAAUGGCCAGUUUUUCCUUCAGUAUUGAAAGAUCACAGUUUUUAAGCUGAGAAUUGAUAUAGUUGGCCUUCAUUCAGAGGCCAUUUACUAGAGAAUAUCAAUCAAAAUGAGAAUCCCACUUAUUACCGAAGACAUACUUCGAGAGGCAGACACGUCUUGAGGAAAGAGCAAGUUCAACGUUUCGUAAGCCGGAGGCACUUUCACUCAGAAUAGUGGGCAGAGUUGCCCAAACUGUUUACAUUGGGUUUUCUCUGUUUUUGUUCGUGUUUGCUGACUCCUUAUAAUUGAAUUAUCACAUAUAAUUAAUUAAUUGCUACUUUGGAUAUUUUGAGAAUUGGGCAAUCAUUGUGACAAAUGCUUUGUAAACUGUAAGAUCCCUGUGGUGGUCAUCAGUGUGAUUCUCCAAAUAUUUCUGGUUCCAGGCAGGUGGUAGUUUUUUUCAUCUCCCUUGAAGUUAGGUAUGGCCACGUGACUCGCUCACUUUAGGCCAGUGUAGAAGUGAGACUGUAAGCUUUAAGAGCAUAGUCAGUGUGUGAUUCCCAUUGACCGAUCUCCCUCUGCCAUGGCCCUGUCCCAGAGUGAGGCCACACAAAGCAAAGUUCCCAGCUGACCCCAGAUGGAAAUGAGCAAGAAAUAAACCCAUGUUUGUAGAAGCCACUGGGGUAUGGGGACUCUUUGUUGCUACAAUAUAUUUAGCUCAUCCUGACUCAGGUAACAUACAACACUUACAGGUCUUAUGUGAGAUUGUGCUAUUUGAUGCAUAAGCCUAAUCCAAUCAACAAGGCUUAUGGUGAAGGUACAGUUGUGAUUGUAUUUAAAACAAACUGCGGAACUCUUAACAGAAAAAGCUAGCUCCAAGAUCCUCCAAGGAUAUGUUUGAGCCAAUAACCAAGCAUGAGCAUUCAUGGGAAAGGUGGAGAACUGAUAUUUGGUGAGGCCCCUCUCUCUUCCUGCCGCUGUGCUAGACUGAUUUGCGCAGAUGAACACAUUCUGUCCUAACAGCAACACCGGGAAGAACCCUGGGUAUUAUUCCUACUGCUCAAUAUAGAAAGUAAGGCUGAGAGAUACUAAAUGGCCCAGGUCACACAGCUAGCUAAUAAGCAGGUGAGAAAAUUGUUUUUGAGAGCGCAGAAUGCAACUUUAAUAUACAGUGACAAUCUCAGCGUAAACCUAGAAAUUGGCGAGGAGUACCUACUUGCUGAAGUCUAGUUGCAGAGCUUAAGGAUUAAUUACUCUUAUUCUGGAUUUAAAAGGGAAAAUGUAAGUCUCUCCACUGCACUUUGACCUUCCUCACUGACUGACCUUGGAAAAAGUCACCCUGAUGUAAACUUCUACAUAACAAAACCCUAAGGGUCACCCUUGCAAUUUGGGACUCCUGUAUGGGUGGGAAUGUUGGCUGGACUCUCUUUACCAGAGCUCUCUCUUAUUGCUUGAUUCAUUUUCCUCAUUUAUAUUACUGUAUCUUUCCUUAAAAAAGAAAAACAACAACAAAACCCAGCAACCUAAAAUGAUGCUAUCAGAAUGCUAUACCUUUCAAAUUCAGAUUUUUAAAAAAUUGCAAAGCCAAAUAUAUUCAUUUGUAUUUAUAUAAAGUAGUAUGAAUAACUAAGAGCCAAGUUUAAUUGCUUGAGAAUAUUGCCACGUACCACACAUUAUGAAGCUUUUUUAUGUUAGUUUGUUAUAUAGCUGUAUUAAGGCACCUUGGUGCAUUUCUGUGCAUGGACGUGGAAUGGGCACCAUGAGCAGCUGGUCAGUUUUUAAUAGGGGGCUGCCUUGUAAUACGGUUAAGCCAGUGGUUCUCAACCCAGCCCCACCUUAGACCAAUGAAAUCAAAAUCUCUAAGAUUGGGCCCACACAUCAGGUUUGUUUUUUUUUUUUUCCCCCAAAACUCCCCAUUUGGUUCUAAUGUGAAUUUAGGGUUUAGAUACCUUGGGUUAAAAUCAUGGGCUCUUCUUGGUCAGGCAGUCUUGGAUUCAAAUCCUGAGUUGACAGAGGACGUUACUUUAAGCUUUGCCAUCUAUAAAAUGAGGAUAGUUUAGUAUUUACUUCACACGUUUGUAUUAAGUAUAAAAUUAUAUAGUAUAUGUAAAAGGGCAUAGUCCCUUCCCAGGAUCAAGUACCCAGUAGAUUAUUACUGUGAUUAAUUUUUAAAUGACUGGGAACUUUGGGUCAGGUUCAAGCAGGAAAGAAGGUCUCCAUUUGCAAAGAAGCAAACCCAACUUGACAGUUUGAGAAGCGACUUGCCCAAGUUCUCACGACUAGGCCUAGGGUCCUGUUCCCUCCUCCAAAGCUGAUUUUCUUAUCUUUAUGCCAUCUCCCCUUUAAAUUUCAGCUUCUUAGUUACACCAGGUAGCCUUCCCUUCAAUUACCGACAGCAAGGAGCUGGGCGCCUUUAGGAAGGGAAUGUGCACAGCAGGCUGCUCAGCCCCUCGCAGGGGUCCCAGCAUUAUGACCGUUGGCUGUACACCAGUAGGCUGAAUGAUGACCCACCCCCACGAGUCAUUCAUGUCCUAAUCCCUGGAACCUGUGAAUAGAUUACCUUACGUCCCAAUAGGGACUUGGCAGAUGUGAUUAAUUUAAGGAUUUUGAGAAGAGCACGUUAUCCUGGAUUAUUUGGUGGGUCCACUAUAAUCAUAAGGGUCCUUAUAAGAAGGAGGCAGGAGACUCACAGAGUAGGAGAUUUGAUGACUGAGGCAGAGAGAGUUUGGACUGAUUUGAGGAAAGAGCCAAAAGCCAAAGAAUGCAGGUGGCUUCUGGAAACUAGAGGAGGCAGAGAAACAGGUUCUCCCUUAGAGCCUACAGAAGGAAUACAGAUCUGUUGACACCUUGAUGUUAGCCUGCAAGACCCAUUUUGGACUUCUGACUUCUAGAAUUGUAAACUAAUAAAUGUGUUUUAUUUUACUAAUUUUGUAGUAAUUUGUUACAGCAGCAAUAGGAAGCUAAUGCAACCUGCAUCACAUGCUUUAUGUAAAAGCUAUAAACCAGUAUGGUAAUGUC